rnacentral:rRNA from 1 species
UGGGGAAUUUUGGACAAUGGGGGAAACCCUGAUCCAGCCAUCCCGCGUGUGCGAUGAAGGCCUUCGGGUUGUAAAGCACUUUUGGCAGGAAAGAAACGUCAUGGGUUAAUACCCCGUGAAACUGACGGUACCUGCAGAAUAAGCACCGGCUAACUACGUGCCAGCAGCCGCGGUAAUACGUAGGGUGCAAGCGUUAAUCGGAAUUACUGGGCGUAAAGCGUGCGCAGGCGGUUCGGAAAGAAAGAUGUGAAAUCCCAGAGCUCAACUUUGGAACUGCAUUUUUAACUGCCGGACUAGAGUGUGUCAGAGGGGGGUGGAAUUCCGCGUGUAGAAGUGAAAUGCGUAGAUAUGCGGAGGAACACCGAUGGCGAAGGCAGCCUCCUGGGAUAACACUGACGCUCAUGCACGAAAGCGUGGGGAGCAAACAGG